AAUGGCCUAAUGGCUGAACCAGCAACUUGGAGGAAUGUAUAGCAAUAGCUAAUUGUAUUAACAUAAUAGUUUUUACAAUAUCGAUAAUAUCGAAUAAAAUUCUAGGUGGAUAAAUGAUAAUGACAUUAUCUAUUUAUGGUCUUGACAAAAAUACGUGCCAGCAGUCGCGGUAAUACGUAGCAGACCAGUGUUAUUCAUAUUUAAUAGGUUUAAAGCGUAUUUAGACGGUAAUUCUUGCUUGAAUAAGGUACAUUAUUACUAGAGUUAUAUACGAGGGUGCGUAGGUACUGUUGAGUGGAGAGAUGAAAUUCUUUUAUACCAGACGAUUGGAACAGAUAUUGGCGAAAGCAUCACUUUAUGUAAUAACUGACGUUAACAGACGAAGGCUAUGCGUCACAAAAAGGAUUAGGUACCCAAGUAGUCUUAGCAGACAAUUAUGAAUGUCAUAAAUUAGAUAUUAUUUAGUUUAUAAAUGAAAGUGUAAGCAUUUCACCUCAAGAGUAAUUUGGCAACAUAGAAAAUGAAAUCAUUAGACCGUUUCUGAAACCAGUAGUGAAGUAUGUUAUUUAAUUUGAUGAUCCUCAAAAAACCUUACCACAACUUGAAUAUUAAUCAUAUAUUUUUACAUGCGUUGCACGGCUGUCUUCAGUUAAUGUCGUGAGGCCAUGGUUAACUCCAUGCUAAUUAACCUAAACCCUUACUUUAUUUUUAUAUAGAGUUUUUAAACAAAAAUACUGUGUUAUGAUAAAAGGGACUAAAACAAGUCAUCAUGGCCUAAAUGUUG
rnacentral:rRNA from 1 species